CCUACGGGAGGCAGCAGUAGGGAAUCUUCCACAAUGGGCGAAAGCCUGAUGGAGCAACGCCGCGUGGGUGAAGAAGGUCUUCGGAUCGUAAAACCCUGUUGUUAGAGAAGAAAGUGCGUGAGAGUAACUGUUCACGUUUCGACGGUAUCUAACCAGCAAGCCACGGCUAACUACGUGCCAGCAGCCGCGGUAAUACGUAGGUGGCAAGCGUUAUCCGGAUUUAUUGGGCGUAAAGGGAACGCAGGCGGUCUUUUAAGUCUGAUGGGAAAGCCUUCGGCUUAACCGGAGUAGUGCAUUGGAAACUGGGAGACUUGAGUGCAGGAGAGGAGAGGGGAACUCGAGGUGUAGCGGUGAAAUGCGUAGAUAUAUGGAAGAACACCAGUGGCGAAAGCGGCUCUCUGGUCUGUAACUGACGCUGAGGUUCGAAAGCGUGGGUAGCGAACAGGAUUAGAUACCCGGGUAGUC
rnacentral:rRNA from 1 species